rnacentral:pre_miRNA from 12 species
AGGCAGUGGCUUGGCGGUCAUAGGCGUGAUAUCAUUGGCUGGAGCUCUGGGGAAUGACAUCAUGCGUAUGGCUGCUAAACUGCCACAUGGGA